AUAAAGUAGUCCACUUUGUUUUCACUGUGUUGCAAUGCAUGUUGAUAUCCAGGAAAUAGAUGUGUGAUGACUUUAUGAUUGUGGUAAUGAUGCUAGGCAGGGUGUAUGAAUGAAUCUUGUGUGAGGAAGCAUGUGUGAGGUAUUGAGCUCCAGAGUUCUUAUUGUUGUAUGUUUUGUUCACAGGAGAACAUGGAUGAUAUUGCCUUAAUCUUGAUGAUCGAUUGAAUUGCAUGUGAAUGUCAUAUGAUCAAGGCCAUUUUUGAAAACCCUUCUCUACCCAAAUU
rnacentral:lncRNA from 1 species